CUAAACGUAUGUGCUUUUAUUUAUUUAUUAUUAUUAUUUUAACUAUUAUUAUUUUAUUUAUUUAUUUAUUAAUUAAUUCAGCCAGCUGGCUGCUGAGUUGUAGUUGAGACAAUAACUUUUUUUUUUUUUCUUUUUUCUUUUUCAUUUUAGGUUUCAUUGAACAUAUCCAUAUCAUGCAAAAUCACAGGUUUGAAAGGAACUUCUAAUAAUGUCAGGGCUGAAGACUGUGACCAUUUUUCUGCAGUUUAACUGCAGGUAACUCUGCAGUUGCAGCAUUUUUCACUGAGGUGACGUAUGGAAAAUGGAAGCUGAUCCUCACUGACUUUCAGCCUACAUCUCCUUUGCUUCUGCUGGCUCAAGGCGACCAGUCUCCCUAUUUUCUUCAAGGUUUCCUUGUUUUCUUCAGCUUAACACUACAGAAUGACUGCACACAUUUAACAUACCCAGAAUGGAAACAGAGCAAAAAGGCGGCAGUAGACUUGGUAUGAGUGUGUAAGUAUCUAAGUCAUCUUGGUUGUUUGCUAGAUGAAAGUGACUCAAAGCCUUCCCAAACACAUAAAACACCCUAUUUAAUGUAACACAUUUGCUGAAGAAAAAUGACUAAAGAUGGCA
rnacentral:lncRNA from 1 species